UACGGAGGGUCCAAGCGUUAUCCGGAAUCAUUGGGUUUAAAGGGUGCGUAGGCGGCUUUAUAAGUCAGUGCUGAAAUAUCCCGGCUUAACCGGGAGGGUGGCAUUGAUACUGCAGAGCUUGAGUGAAGUCGAGGUAGGCGGAAUUGACGGUGUAGCGGUGAAAUGCUUAGAUAUCGUCAAGAACACCGAUAGUGAAGACAGCUUACUAGACUUCAACUGACGCUGAGGCACGAAAGUGUGGGGAUCAAACAGG
rnacentral:rRNA from 1 species